CCUACGGGUGGCAGCAGUCGAGAAUCAUUCACAAUGGGGGAAACCCUGAUGGUGCGACGCCGCGUGGGGGAAUGAAGGUCUUCGGAUUGUAAACCCCUGUCAUGUGGGAGCAAAUUAAAAAGAUAGUACCACACGAGGAAGAGACGGCUAACUCUGUGCCAGCAGCCGCGGUAAUACAGAGGUCUCAAGCGUUGUUCGGAAUCACUGGGCGUAAAGCGUGCGUAGGCUGUUUCGUAAGUCGUGUGUGAAAGGCGCGGGCUCAACCCGCGGACGGCACAUGAUACUGCGAGACUAGAGUAAUGGAGGGGGAACCGGAAUUCGCGGUGUAGCAGUGAAAUGCGUAGAUAUCGAGCGGAACACUCGUGGCGAAGGCGGGUUCCUGGACAUUAACUGACGCUGAGGCACGAAGGCCAGGGGAGCGAAAGGGAUUAGAUACCCGAGUAGUC
rnacentral:rRNA from 1 species